rnacentral:rRNA from 1 species
CCUAGGGAGGCAGCAGUGGGGAAUAUUGGACAAUGGGCGAAAGCCUGAUCCAGCCAUGCCGCGUGUGUGAAGAAGGCCUUCGGGUUGUAAAGCACUUUCAGUGGGGAAGAAAGCCUUGGGGCUAAUACCCUCGAGGAAGGACAUCACCCACAGAAGAAGCACCGGCUAACUCCGUGCCAGCAGCCGCGGUAAUACGGAGGGUGCGAGCGUUAAUCGGAAUUACUGGGCGUAAAGCGCGCGUAGGCGGUCUGAUAAGCCGGUUGUGAAAGCCCCGGGCUCAACCUGGGAACGGCAUCCGGAACUGUCAGGCUAGAGUGCAGGAGAGGAAGGUAGAAUUCCCGGUGUAGCGGUGAAAUGCGUAGAGAUCGGGAGGAAUACCAGUGGCGAAGGCGGCCUUCUGGACUGACACUGACGCUGAGGUGCGAAAGCGUGGGUAGCAAACAGGAUUAGAUACCCCUGUAGUC